UUGCGACUACAUCACAUUGAAAUACCGGUUCUCGUACGAUCACUAAAGUUAAGCAACGUCGAGACUGGUCAGUACCUAGAUGGGUGACCGCUUAGGAAUACCAGAUGCUGUA